rnacentral:rRNA from 1 species
AUUGAACGCUGGCGGCAUGCUUUACACAUGCAAGUCGAACGGCAGCGCGGGCUUCGGCCUGGCGGCGAGUGGCGAACGGGUGAGUAAUGCAUCGGAACGUGCCCAGUAGUGGGGGAUAGCCCGGCGAAAGCCGGAUUAAUACCGCAUACGACCUGAGGGUGAAAGCGGGGGACCGAAAGGCCUCGCGCUAUUGGAGCGGCCGAUGUCGGAUUAGCUAGUUGGUGGGGUAAAGGCUUACCAAGGCGACGAUCCGUAGCUGGUCUGAGAGGACGAUCAGCCACACUUGGACUGAGACACGGCCCAGACUCCUACGGGAGGCAGCAGUGGGGAAUUUUGGACAAUGGGGGCAACCCUGAGCCAGCCAUGCCGCGUGCGGGAAGAAGGCCUUCGGGUUGUAAACCGCUUUUGUUCGGGAAGAAAUCCUCUGGGCUAAUACCCCGGGGGGAUGACGGUACCGGAAGAAUAAGCACCGGCUAACUACGU